rnacentral:sRNA from 1 species
ACGCGUUCCCCUCUGGAGGUUUUCGACCUUCACAUCUCGCCGGGCCUUUGGGUCCGGCCUUUUUUCUGAAUGUG